AGAAAUAUGCCUGACAAUAGGGUUACUUUGAUAGAGUAAACCAUAGGAGUUUAAAUCUCCUUAUUUCUA
rnacentral:tRNA from 1 species